CCACUGCUCCCCGCCCCCUUCCACCCACUGCCUAGGCCUGUGGUUCUGAAGCUGAGAGGGGAAAAGAAGGAAUUUAGGCGGAGUGCUCCGAACUAAAUAUAGUCCUUUGUUGGUGUUUUGGAGGGAGUCUGAUUUCUUCAAACCCAGUCACGACCGUUUCUUAAAGGGAGCAGCUAGGGUUCAUUGCUGCUCUCGGUCUGCAAGAAAUCCUAAAGUUUCUAACUUAAAUCUUUGCCGGGAGCUAGGAUGAGCAAUGAGCCACCGGGAGCUCGGGGCAGCGGAAGAGAUGGGUCUGCCCAGGCUUGCCUCUUCCCAAGCUCUUCAUGGUGGGGCGGGCAGUCGCAGGACUUGGCUCUUGGCUCGUUUCACUAGCACAGGGAUGCGAGGUGACGCCUGGACUUGUCCCGAGUCUCUAUAGUUCCCUGCUAGGGAGAGAUGUCUAGACCUGUCAGCGCACAGCGCUGGCUGUGGGAGCCGCCGAGUGCACAGGGGUGGGGAUCGGAUCUGUGUCAACCGGUGAUCAGUGGCCUGUCUUCUUAUCUUCUGCCACUAGGUUCUGCUUCUACCGUCCUCGAUGCAGCGGGAACGGGACAGUGUGUAGAUACGUGCUUUUGGUUCCGAGUUACUGCAGUACGCUUGGCCCCAUUUGCGAGUUGCCUGCCCCAGACUCUUGAUUGCAAGCCUUAAGUUUGUGUCCGCACUGAGCAGCUGCUAAGCCCCCUGUGAGGUGCAGCUCUGGGCCUGCAAGGGUACAGGAAUGCUACAAGGUGAAUCUGUAAAACCCUCAAGUAGAAAACUGCUCAGCUGCACAGCCCAUUUACAUACACAAAGGAGCUGAAUUUCACGCUGCCCAAAGAUCUCCCGGAGCUAACUGCAGAUUGCCAACACACUUCAUGUUACUUCAUAUACAGCCGUGUUGCCAGUUAAACAGCCAUGUUGUAAGAACAAGGUCUCGACCAGUCUUGAUAGAGCUUGAAUCGUUAUCUAAGACCUGUCAGGAACAUCGUAGGAUCAUAACCCAAGGUCUUAGAUGUGCCAGAGACGCUGAUCCGUGGCGAAGACCUGUGUUCCUCCUGCAGCAUGACGUGAAACAUAAUAGUUUGUAUUAUGACUGUGUGAAGAAGGUGCCAAGGGUGCCUGAGAAAGGGAGGUUUUAGAGAGAUUUAUUUGAUCCUCGGUUUUCUUGGUUGAAAGAGCCAUCUAAAAAUCCCAGUUCAUUUAAGAUUCCUCUCCUCAAAAACGUUCUGUUCCAGAGAACCAAAUAUAGAAAGAAUAGGAGAAAUCGCUUAGCUUCACUACAAAGAAUUUUCCUUUCUUUUAUCUCACAGACCACUAGAUGAAAGGCGCCCCCCCUUCCCCCCUGCAGGGAUGGGAGCACACCACUUCCCCUAACACAGUGGAAGCCUAUCAGUCCUCUGCAGCGGCGGCUCCACCAAGUCUUCAGCCUGUGGUUUUGAUGGAGACAAUGAGGGCCUGUGCUCGGGACAGGAAGUCUCACUUGUCUCACUUGUAAAAUAUCACCAGCAGUGGGGUCUGCUGGAAGGAAUCUGCCUAGUGGGAACUCUGUGUCACUGGGAACGACAUAAUUGAGCAAUCAUGAGAUAGUAUGAAAGAUCUGAGUCAUAGCUUAGGAAGACUGUACCUGAAAGCACAGGAUGGCUUUGCGGUUACUGUUCUCAUGGCGGGUUGCUCUGCUUUUAAGAAUAGCCGUGUAAAGCCUUAGGUACCAAAAGAUUACUGUUAUUUUAGUCAACGUUUGUAAUACGGGCAUAUGACUACAAAAUAUAUUUUAAAAGUUCCUUUCUGUGAAGAGAUUUCUAUCCUUAAAUAUCUUACUGACUUUUAGAAAUAAUUCUAUAGAAUGAGAAAGGAGUAACCCUAGAAAACUGAUCAAAUACUUGUUUAUGUGUUUUGUGUAAGCUAAAUUCAAAGUGGACACUUCAAACUCUGUCUGGGAAGGGCUAGAUCAUAAGCACGUCAGGCUUUUCAGGCCAUGCUCUCUCUUUCCUACCUCUGCGUUCCAUCCAGCAUACAAGCCUCCUUAGACAGUAUGCAAAUGAGUGGUUCUGGCCGAGUGCCAGCAAUACUUCCUUUGUGGAACCAGGUGGUGGACGGCAUUUGGCGAGCAAGCCCAUGGUUUGUCGAUUUCUAAACCGGGAAUUGAAGGGGGUGGGAGAAAAGCCCUUCAUUUGUUGCCAGAGUUUCUUGAAAUAAAAAUGAACUACUAGUCUGUCCAUAGAUGGAGUUGCAGGUUUGGCUGUCAUCAUUGGGAAAGUGCCAGUCAAAUAGUGAGUAUGUAUCAGCAAAUAAAGGGCAGGGUUUAUCAUUUGUACUCUUACGCAAGUGUUAAAGGCAUUAGACAUGCUUUAGUAUGUUUACUUUUUUCAUAUUUAUUUUUAAUUGUUGAUUGUGAAUUGUUUGUUAUAUAAUGUAUAUUAUGUAACUGUCUCUCUGUGUGUGUGUGUGUGUAUACCUUACUGCCGGUCAUAUACACUUUGAAAAUAUGUUCAGUAAUCUGUGAUUAACUUUGGAUUUUGAAUUUAAAAUUUUUUAAAAUAUUUCUUUUCUGAAUUUGUCUUUUUCCUGAUGGGUUUUCCUUUGUGUGUUUCAU